rnacentral:rRNA from 1 species
GACGAACGCUGGCGGCGUGCUUAACACAUGCAAGUCGAACGGAAAGGCCCUGCUUUUGUGGGGUGCUCGAGUGGCGAACGGGUGAGUAACACGUGAGUAACCUGCCCUUGACUUUGGGAUAACUUCAGGAAACUGGGGCUAAUACCGGAUAGGAGCUCCUGCUGCAUGGUGGGGGUUGGAAAGUUUCGGCGGUUGGGGAUGGACUCGCGGCUUAUCAGCUUGUUGGUGGGUAGUGGCUUACCAAGGCUUUGACGGGUAGCCGGCCUGAGAGGGUGACCGGCCACAUUGGGACUGAGAUACGGCCCAGACUCCUACGGGAGGCAGCAGUGGGGAAUAUUGCACAAUGGGCGGAAGCCUGAUGCAGCAACGCCGUGUGCGGGAUGACGGCCUUCGGGUUGUAAACCGCUUUCGCCUGUGACGAAGCGUGAGUGACGGUAAUGGGUAAAGAAGCACCGGCUAACUACGUG